AAAAGCAUCGAUCUCCACAGGGGCCGGGGUAAAAAAUUCCGUUGUUAAGAGCGUGCGGCUUGUUAUGACACUAUCUUACGUUCUGUAAUCAACAUCACCCAAUCAGAAUCCGCUAUUUUGCAUACGUCAUUCACCCCUUGCUGGCUGCCUGGGAUGUCGCCGACUUGUACUGGUUCUCGUUGGAUUGUACCGGUUGCAUUUUCUUAGCGAAUCUCCGUGAUUUUAGGGAAUUUUAUCGAAUUUUAGUGAUCAAAUCAAAAUGAUCUCCAAGAAAUUUGUUGUUGUGGAGUGGCUGAACAACGCAGAGGAUCGUUGCGAGUUAACAGUUCUCAGGGGAAGUGAAGUUUUGCGCCAGGGUGGUUUGGUAUCGGUGGUAUUCAUUGCAUUGCAGCAGAUAACACACCAAGACUUUACGAGGCAGAAGUGUUGCAAAACUUCGACUCACAGCGCAAGGCAAGCAGUUUGAAAACGAGCUGCUUGAGGGAGGCAACGACAGCGUUGACCGAGGUUUACAAAGAUGUUCCUGCAGAGGAUCAGCCCAGUCCAGUGUCACAACAAAAGCAGAAAAUUAAAUAUCUGUCAAAGCCCCUGGAAGGGGUGAAGAGGCUCCUGUCAGACCUCUUUACCGAAGAAGAGCUCAUGCGGUGCACACUGAAGGGGAAGGGAAGGACCAGCAACAAGAUGCAGAUAAUUUAUGGUGCAAUGAGGGGAAAUUACGGAAUGACUGAUGAGAAAAUGGACCAGCUGAUUAGAAAUCAGCAAAAAUCCUUAAAAGACAAAACCAAAAAAGUCUUCAGUAAAGCUAAGUGAAAUGUCCAUUGUUGGUGUAAAAUGUCCGCUUAAGUAGGUUUUUUAAUCAUAGAGAUAUUUUAGCUUGCCUUGCACUUUUUGUUGUAUACCAACUUUUUGUCGAAUUUGGUUUUGUCUUUUAACGAUUUUUGCUGAUUUCUAUAACGUUAUAGAAGUCACUGUUCACGUUGUAUCCGAAAAUUAUAAAGUUGAUUAUCAAAUUUUGAGAUAAUUGUAAAUUUGUUCUGUAUUCUAAAAAUAAAAUUAUUUGCUGGAAAA